rnacentral:rRNA from 1 species
UACGAAGGGGGCUAGCGUUGCUCGGAAUUACUGGGCGUAAAGCGUGCGUAGACGGUUAUUUAAGUCGGGUGUGAAAGCCCCGGGCUCAACCUGGGAAUUGCAUUCGAGACUGAAUAGCUAGGGUACGGUAGAGGGAAGUGGAAUUUCCGGUGUAGCGGUGAAAUGCGUAGAUAUCGGAAGGAACAUCAGUGGCGAAAGCGACUUCCUGGACCAGUACCGACGUUCAGGCACGAAAGCGUGGGGAGCAA